rnacentral:rRNA from 1 species
GACGUAGGGGACGAGCGUUGUCCGGAAUCACUGGGCGUAAAGGGUGCGUAGGCGGGUCUUUAAGUCAGGGGUGAAAUCCUGGAGCUCAACUCCAGAACUGCCUUUGAUACUGAAGAUCUUGAGUUCGGGAGAGGUGAGUGGAACUGCGAGUGUAGAGGUGAAAAUUCGUAGAUAUUCGCAAGAACACCAGUGGCGAAGGCGGCUCACUGGCCCGAUACUGACGCUGAGGCACGAAAGCGUGGGGAGCAAACAGGG